rnacentral:rRNA from 1 species
UACAGAGGAUGCAAGCGUUAUCCGGAAUGAUUGGGCGUAAAGCGUCUGUAGGUGGCUUUUUAAGUCCGCCGUCAAAUCCCAGGGCUCAACUCUGGACAGGCGGUGGAAACUACCAAGCUGGAGUACGGUAGGGGCAGAGGGAAUUCCCAGUGUGGCGGUGAAAUGCGUAGAUAUCGGAAGGAACACCGGUGGCGAAAGCGGCGCGCUGGAUCCCUACUGACGCUGAGGCACGAAAGCCAGGGGAGCAAACGGG